AUACACCUCUCGACUUUUUGGCUAAGAUCAAAUAUAGUAUAUGUUCGUAUCAGUUUAAUAUAGAUGACUCACACAAUUUUUUUAGGGGAAGGUCUAUCCAAUAGCGUGCUAUCAAUGCCUUCAAGUGUAGCUUUAGUGUUGCACUACUGCCUUGGCCUGACAUAACCCAC
rfam:Nicotiana sylvestris Nsyl_contig153073, whole genome shotgun sequence.